GAUGAACGCUGGCGGCGUGCCUAAUACAUGCAAGUCGAGCGAACGGACGAGAAGCUUGCUCCUCUGACGUUAGCGGCGGACGGGUGAGUAACACGUGGAUAACCUACCUAUAAGACUGGGAUAACUUCGGGAAACCGGAGCUAAUACCGGAUGAUAUUUUGAACCGCAUGGUUCAAUAGUGAAAGACGGUUUUGCUGUCUCUUAUAGAUGGAUCCGCGCUGCAUUAGCUAGUUGGUAAGGUAACGGCUUACCAAGGCAACGAUGCGUAGCCGACCUGAGAGGGUGAUCGGCCACACUGGAACUGAGACACGGUCCAGACUCCUACGGGAGGCAGCAGUAGGGAAUCUUCCGCAAUGGGCGAAAGCCUGACGGAGCAACGCCGCGUGAGUGAUGAAGGUCUUCGGAUCGUAAAACUCUGUUAUUAGGGAAGAACAAAUGUGUAAGUAACUAUGCACGUCUUGACGGUACCUAAUCAGAAAGCCACGGCUAACUACGUG
rnacentral:rRNA from 1 species